rnacentral:rRNA from 1 species
UACGGGGGGGGCGAGCGUUAUCCGGAGUUACUGGGCGUAAAGGGCGUGUAGGCGGUAUGGUAAGUCUGGCGUGAAAGCUCUCGGCUAAACCGGGAGAGGUCGUUGGAUACUGGCAAACUAGAGGAUGGUAGAGGCGUGUGGAAUUCCGGGUGUAGUGGUGAAAUGCGUAGAGAUCCGGAGGAACACCAGUGGCGAAGGCGACACGCUGGGCCAUACCUGACGCUAAAGCGCGACAGCAUGGGGAGCAAACGGG